rnacentral:rRNA from 1 species
UACGGAAGGCAGCAGUGGGGAAUAUUGCACAAUGGGCGCAAGCCUGAUGCAGCCAUGCCGCGUGUAUGAAAAAGGCCUUCGGGUUGUAAAGUACUUUCAGUCGUGAGGAGGUGUUAAGGUUAAUAACCUUAGCAAUUGACGUUAGCGACAGAAGAAGCACCGGCUAACUCCGUGCCAGCAGCCGCGGUAAUACGGAGGGUGCGAGCGUUAAUCGGAAUUACUGGGCGUAAAGGGCACGCAGGCGGUUAAUUAAGUUGGAUGUGAAAUCCCCGGGCUUAACCUGGGAAUGGCAUUCAAGACUGGUUAGCUAGAGUCUUGUAGAGGGGGUAGAAUUCCAUGUGUAGCGGUGAAAUGCGUAGAGAUGUGGAGGAAUACCGGUGGCGAAGGCGGCCCCUGGACAAAGGACUGACGCUCAUGUGCGAAAGCGUGGGGAGCAAACAGGGAUUAGAUACC